rnacentral:rRNA from 1 species
CCUACGGGUGGCAGCAGUGAGGAAUAUUGGUCAAUGGACGAGAGUCUGAACCAGCCAAGUAGCGUGAAGGAUGACUGCCCUAUGGGUUGUAAACUUCUUUUAUAGAGGAAUAAAACGAGGCACGUGUGCCUUUUUGCAUGUACUGUAUGAAUAAGGAUCGGCUAACUCCGUGCCAGCAGCCGCGGUAAUACGGAGGAUCCGAGCGUUAUCCGGAUUUAUUGGGUUUAAAGGGAGCGUAGAUGGGGUGUUAAGUCAGUUGUGAAAUUCUGCGGCUCAACCGUAGAAUUGCGGUUGAUACUGGCAGUCUUGAGUGCAGUUGAGGUAGGCGGAAUUCGUGGUGUAGCGGUGAAAUGCUUAGAUAUCACGAAGAACCCCGAUUGCGAAGGCAGCUUACUGAACUGUGACUGACGUUGAGGCUCGAAAGUGUGGGUAUCAAACAGGAUUAGAUACCCCUGUAGUC